CUGCUGCCUUCCGUAGGAGUCUGGGCCGUGUCUCAGUCCCAGUCUGGAUGAUCAUCCUCUCAAACCAUCUAACGAUCGUCGACUUGGUGAGCCUUUACCUCACCAACUAUCUAAUCGUACGCAGGCCAUUCCUAAAGCGCAUAAAUGCUUUAAUCCGAAGAUCAUAUGCGGUAUUAGCCACUCUUUCGAGUAGUUAUCCCUCACAUUAGGGUAUGUUCCCACGCGUUACUCAGCCGUCCGCCG
rnacentral:rRNA from 1 species